CACUGUUUCGGCUAGGGGGCCAUCCCGGCUUACCAACCCGAUGCAAACUGCGAAUACCGGAGAAUGUUAUCACGGGAGACACACGGCGGGUGCUAACGUCCGUCGUGAAGAGGGAAACAACCCAGACCGCCAGCUAAGGUCCCAAAGUCAUGGUUAAGUGGGAAACGAUGUGGGAAGGCCCAGACAGCCAGGAUGUUGGCUUAGAAGCAGCCAUCAUUUAAAGAAAGCGUAAUAGCUCACUGGUCGAGUCGGCCUGCGCGGAAGAUGUAACGGGGCUAAACCAUGCACCGAAGCUGCGGCAGCGACACUGUGUGUUGUUGGGUAGGGGAGCGUUCUGUAAGCCUGUGAAGGUGUGUCGUGAGGCAUGCUGGAGGUAUCAGAAGUGCGAAUGCUGACAUAAGUAACGAUAAAGCGGGUGAAAAGCCCGCUCGCCGGAAGACCAAGGGUUCCUGUCCAACGUUAAUCGGGGCAGGGUGAGUCGACCCCUAAGGCGAGGCCGAAAGGCGUAGUCGAUGGGAAACGGGUUAAUAUUCCCGUACUUGGUGUUACUGCGAAGGGGGGACGGAGAAGGCUAUGUUGGCCGGGCGACGGUU
rnacentral:rRNA from 1 species